rnacentral:lncRNA from 1 species
AUUUAAAUUUUUUAAUUUAUAAAAUUAUAUUUAAGCAUAAUUUUUAAAAGCCAGAACUCCAACUGAUGAGAGAGUAAUAGAAAUUGUUAUUUGAUCUUUGUUCAUAUAUAAGAUCUUGAUAGUUUACACUGACAUUGGCAUUUUUAAAAAUUGUGUGUGCAUGUACUUGGUGGGAGGGUGAGCUCGCGCGCGUAUGUGCGCCUGCUCACUCCCACACAUUUAUACACUUGAUAUUUCAUAUAGGAUAACUGACAGAACCUUCUACCUUGUAGGUCUUGAGAAUUGAGCUUAAGUAAUCAUAAUCAGCCUUACCAGCAAGCCUUCACUUUCUGAGCCAUCGAAUGGGCCCUUUUAAUUUGAAUUAUUAAUUUGAGGUUGUUGCUCAAUGAUAGUACUUGCCUAACAUGAGAAAAACCCUUGGUUUGAUCUCUGGUUCCACAGUUUUUUAAAUAGUUUAGCUUUGUUUUAUCAAAUUGAUUUAAGACCACAAAAAAAAAAAAAGGAUAGCAUUACAUGUAAAUUAGAUUUACUUAUCUUCUUGAAUCUUGAAGAGAACUAAAGGAUAAUUAUAUGACCUAUUCUCUCAUAACUAUAAAGUUGGCUUGAUAAUUGUUUUUUAACAUUUGAAAUGGAGAGAAGAAUGUAACAGCCAUUCAUGAAUUUGAUAAUAAAUUAUCAUGCUAUAAUUUUUUAAUGAAUUUAUCUUAAAAGAUGAGCUCUCAAGCUAGGCCUUUGAUCACAGCACGCGGGACAGAGACAGGCAGAUCUCUGGAAGGAAGCCAACCUGUUUUACAGAACAAGUUCUAGAACAGCCAGGCCUUCAGAAACCCUGUCUCAGAGGGGCACCGAAGUAAGCUAUCAAAGCUAAGAAAAUGGCUUAGUGGGCAAGAACACUUUCUUUAUAAGCCUAAAGACCCACAUUUGAACAAAUUGAAUUCCCAGAAUCCAUAUUUUAAAAGCCAGGCAUGGAUUCAUAUUCCUGUAAUAACCACUUUGGGAGGUAGAAACAGAGCUUGGUGGCUAGCCAAAAUAGUGAGGUUCAUAUCCAGUGGGAGACUGUCUCUAGGUACAAAGUGGAAGCACUAACAUAAAACAUCUAAUGUCCUCUGGCUUCUGCAUGUACCGGUACACUCCCAACCACACAUAGAUUUGCACACAUAUGCCACACACUACCAGAAUUAAAAAACCAUAUGUGAAUUAUCAGGUUACUCCACUGUUUUAUUAUUAUUUAACAUAUUCUGGAGUUUUUAGCUAUAAGCAUACUUGCCUCUUCCAAAGGGAAAGGAUGUAUAAGUACUAGUAAAGAGGGGUGACUGUCAUCAUAUGCAAGUAAUACAGUUAGAUUCCUAGAACAGCUGAGAAAAUUGGCUGGAACCAAUAUGUAAACAUUUCAUUAUAACAUUAAGAUGGACAAAUGGAGAACAUGGGAAACGAAGGCUCUCGGUUAUGAGGAGGGAAUCAAGGCUUGAAUAGCUAAAAGAAAUCAUGCAUAGUCAUUGGUGAGGGUGGUCUCCCCGAGUUAUAUUACCAAAGUACUGAGAUUAGAUUGUCUAAUUAUUAUACUUCAUUGAUAAGAAUAUUGUGCUAGUCUUUCCAGAAAUAUUUUGGAUAGAGUUGGGAACAUUUCUAGCCAAUUUUUAAAAAGACGAAAUAUCAGUAUUGCUAGAUGUGGUAUGUGCCUAGAAUCUAGUACUGGAGAGGCUGAGAAAGAAAAACACAAAUUUGAGGCCAACCUAGGCAACAUUACAAGACUCUGUCUCAUCACUAGGGGGGAGAGCAUUGUAGCUCAAUAUUAAAGUACUUUCCUAAAAUAUACAAGGACC